AUCUUCAGGGCGGGGUGCAAGUCCCCACUGGCGGUAUAGUCCGCGACCUGUGGCAGAAAGCCACGGCUGAUCCGGUGAAAGUCCGGUACCAACAGUUACAGUCUGGAUGGAAGAAGAG
rnacentral:ncRNA from 1 species